UACGAAGGGGGCUAGCGUUGCUCGGAAUCACUGGGCGUAAAGGGCGCGUAGGCGGCUUUGUAAGUCGGGGGUGAAAGCCUGUGGCUCAACCACAGAAUUGCCUUCGAUACUGCAUGGCUUGAGACCGGAAGAGGUAAGUGGAACUGCGAGUGUAGAGGUGAAAUUCGUAGAUAUUCGCAAGAACAUCAGUGGCGAAGGCGGCUUACUGGUCCGGUUCUGACGCUGAGGCGCGAAAGCGUGGGGAGCAAACAGG
rnacentral:rRNA from 1 species